rfam:Butyrivibrio proteoclasticus strain P18 genome assembly, contig: Ga0066879_120
AAAAGACGAUAAUAUAUGCCGAAGACAGUAGGUGUUCUAUUAGAACAUAAUGAGUAAUCGCCUACCGAGGAAAAGUUAUAUUUUGACUUUUUACCUCUCGAUGUCUUCGAGAGGUUUUUUUCGGCGGUUAA